GGGAAUGCAACGGUUUCGACGGGGUGAAAGAGGAUUAAAACUGCAUGCUGUGUUCUCCGCAGACACAUUAAACGGCGGAACAAUCAUAAUUGGCGAUAAUAACAAUUACGCUUUAGCUGCUUAAUAAAAUAAUCAGCUUCAUCUUACCCACGUCUCCGCCUAUUGGAUAGGGAUAAGGUGUCAAAAUAGAUAGGCUGGCUUAAGUGAGUGUCCGGUAACUUAAGCAAGAUAAACGGACUGGCAAUGCGGCGGUUCGCCUGCCGGGCAAAGCAUUGUAAGAUUCAAUGGCAGGAUAUUCAUGUAGAGGUUUUAAUUGGCUUCACUUCGGACCCGAGUUCGACUCUCGGCAUUUCCACUA
rnacentral:tmRNA from 1 species